GGGGAUGAUAGGCCUCGAAACGAAAAAAUAUUUUUGAGUCAGAUCGAGGAGCCGUUACCUCGUAAAUCAACGGGCAAUAAAAAUUGCCAACUCAAAUAAAAAUCUAGCUUUUGCUUUAGCUUAGCUAGCAUCCAAAUAACCAAUGCUCGAUAGGUUAGGCGGGUGUCAUAUUUAUCGAGCUUGACUCUUUUUUUGGUUGUCUUUGACUAAAAGGAGCGACUAAAAUCAAAGACAGGGGUUAAUAAUUUUGCCAAUUUUUAAUAUUAAUCCUAACAAUAAAUUGGCUUUAUCUGGAAAGCUCAAAAAUUAAUUUUUUCGUUGACGCGGGUUCAAUUCCCGCCAUCUCCACAA
rnacentral:tmRNA from 1 species